UCUCUUCAGUCUAAGUCCAUUACAGGUAUCCAGUUUGAGCAAUGGGAAAGUAAAGUUCUGGCGAAAAAGAUCUGCUUAAGUUUCAUGUUUUGUUCAUUCAUCCAUUCAACGAACAUCUCCAUGCAGCUUCCACGAAUUCAGGACAGUCCUGAGGUAUAGCAAUGAAGAAGCAUCUUGGAGUGCUGAUUUGCUGUGGAUGGCUGAAGAGGAGAAGGGAGCACAUACGCAAUUACAGGCUACAUUUUAACAGGAAAUUAUUCUUCAGACUCAAACCACAAAAGCAUUAGCCUUUGAAUUAUUUCCACUCUACGAAGGAAAAGAGCAGAAAAAGAGGCCUGAACAAAGAGGAGGAGACACCACCACCCAAUUCAUAAGGAUGGUCUCCCAGAAUCCCCUGAACUUUCACAGUGUGGAAAGUUUCUGUGAUUUCAAGCAGAGACCAGGAGAAACUAUACUUUUCACCUCUUCUCAUUAACUAAAAGCCACAGCUAAAAAUAAAAAGCUGGAGCAAUUCCAAAAUUGUGGGUUUUAUAGGGCACAUUAAA